UACAGAGGGGGCAAGCGUUGUUCGGAAUUACUGGGCGUAAAGGGCGCGUAGGCGGCCCGCUAAGUCGAACGUGAAAUCCCCGAGCUCAACUCGGGAACUGCGUCCGAUACUGAUGGGCUUGAAUCCGGGAGAGGGAUGCGGAAUUCCAGGUGUAGCGGUGAAAUGCGUAGAUAUCCGGAGGAACACCGGUGGCGAAGGCGGCUUCCUGGACCGACACUGACGCUGAGGCGCGAAAGCUAGGGGAGCAAACGGG
rnacentral:rRNA from 1 species